AAAACGGAAGGAGAGUCUAGCGGAGAAAGGAGGAACGGUGCGAAAGGAGGAAGCGAAAGAGGGAAAGAAAGAAACGGAAAAGGCCGGUACGCUGGCUGGGUGGGUGGUAAAAGGAAGUUUGCAGGAGGUUCGUUACCGGCAAGCCAGGGUUUCUAGGAUAAUCUAGCCAACCUGGCGGACCAGGAGGAAGGUGGCUCGACGAUGCAGGGCAAGGAGAGCCCCGUCGGGUCCAACACCCAGGAGACCCAUCAGUACGUUGGUCCUUAUCGACUGGAGAAGACCUUGGGAAAAGGCCAGACAGGAUUGGUCAAACUCGGGGUCCACUGUGUGUUGGGCAAGAAGGUGGCGAUCAAGAUCAUCAACAGGGAAAAAUUGUCAGAGUCGGUGCUGAUGAAGGUGGAACGAGAGAUCGCGAUUAUGAAACUGAUCGACCAUCCGCACGUGCUCGGCCUCUCUGACGUAUACGAGAACAAGAAAUAUCUAUAUCUUGUUCUGGAACACGUUUCGGGCGGGGAGCUUUUCGACUAUUUAGUGAAAAAGGGUAGACUAACGCCGAAGGAAGCGAGGAGAUUUUUUCGACAAAUCAUUUCUGCUUUAGAUUUUUGUCAUAGUCAUAGUAUUUGUCACAGAGACUUGAAGCCUGAAAAUUUGUUGUUGGACGAGAAGAAUAAUAUCAAGAUAGCGGAUUUCGGAAUGGCGUCGUUGCAACCUGCCGGCUCCAUGCUGGAAACCAGCUGCGGUUCUCCUCAUUACGCCUGUCCGGAAGUGAUUCGAGGUGAGAAAUACGACGGAAGGAAGGCAGACGUUUGGUCGUGCGGGGUGAUACUUUACGCGCUUCUGGUAGGUGCGUUGCCCUUCGACGACGACAACUUAAGAAAAUUAUUAGAAAAAGUGAAACGGGGCGUGUUCUACAUACCACACUUCGUGCCGCCCGAGUGUCAGAAUCUGCUGAAGGGGAUGAUCGAAGUCGAUCCGGACAAGAGGCUAACGCUGGCGGAGAUAAACAGGCACGUGUGGGUGACGGCGGCGGGCAAAGGCGAAUUAGAAUUAGAGCUGUCGAUGAUGGACGUGGUGCAGACGCACGUUAUUCCGUCCGUGGAGGCAAUCGAUCCGGACGUGUUGCAAGCGAUCGCGAGCUUAGGUUGCUUCAAGGAACGGGACAAACUGAUUCAAGAACUCCUCAGCCCGAACCACAACACGGAGAAGGUGAUCUAUUUUCUACUGUUGGAGAGAAAACGGAGAAGACCGGCGUGCGAGGACGAGCUGGAAGUAAUGAGAGGAGGCAUGAGGGGAUCCGCGGGACAAUUGGAAGCGGAUCCACCGAGAAAGCGAGUGGACACGUGUCGAGUAAACGGUAGCACCGCCCUGAAUCUCGGCGAAAUUAGUCACGGUUCUCCCUUAACGCCUCGAAGGCAGUCGAGCACUAGGCAUCAUGCGCGUCGUUCGCCAAGUACGGGAUGCCAUACACACGCGUCGCAUUCGCACGCAUCGACGCCAGGUAGUUCGCCGUUGCACGGCUCGAACGCAGUCGCUGGAUUGCUAAGUCCUCACAGGGCACCACCGACCUCGCAUCUAGGCCAGACGAUGAGUCCUCACCGACUGUCGUCGGUAACGACCGCAGCGGGCAACGGAAACACCAGCACACCGCCUGUCGUGGCCCCCGUUCCGGUUCUACCCAACGUGGGAAUAGAAAUAAACGACGUCCAGCAGGUAGUCGCGGUCGGCGUUACACCGCCAGGCUCGCCGCACACCGGCGCCGGAUCUAGCGCUCAUCACUGGCGAUCGAGAUUGACGACCAUCAAGAACUCGUUCCUUGGUAGUCCCCGAUUUCAUCGACGCAAGUUGCUCACAAGCGCCGAGGAGGUACAUCUCACGCCGGAUUCCUCCCCGGAACUUACGAAGAAAUCAUGGUUCGGUAGUCUGAUGACCACGGAAAAGGACGAAACGUUCACCAUUCUGGUAAAAGGGAAGGCUCUAGCCAGCGUGAAAGCCGACCUGAUUCACGCCUUUUUAUCGAUAGCGGAGUUGUCUCACAGCGUAAGCUCGCCGAUGUCCUUCAAAGUGGAAUACAAAAGGGGAAGUACGGCGCCGGCAAUGUUCCAAAGACAAGUCCGUUUUCAAGUGGACAUUAGCGCCAUAUCGAAACAGCCGAACGAACCAUUGUUCGCUAUUACUUUUACUCUGCUAAGCGGAAACAUCCGAAGAUUUCGAAGGGUCUGCGAGCACAUUCAGUCGCAGGUCUGCUCGAGAAGCGUAGGAAUAAAUUUGGGAGGGCAAAGCCGCGCGGCACCGCCUAGUCCGCGAGCAUCUCGAAAAUUUACCACGGAGAUGAGCGAAAGUUCCAGCUGCGGUAGCGACACCAGCGAACGGUUAUUUCUCAGCCCGCACCCAGCUACCAGACAGGUAGUCUGUUUCAACAAGAUCGACUCGGACAUCGAAUCGGACACCUCCGUGUUCGACGUGAAAUCGCCGACCCGCGAGAACGGUCGCAGAAGUUCCACGUCAACGAACAACAACAACCCGUUACCAGGUGACGCGACGCCGACUCCUGGAAGUCCGACAAAGGCGGUGCGUAGUAAUUCGGAGAGUCAAAAUACGCCGGAGAAAAAAUGCGUAACAACGAUGAGCGGCAAUAACAUAGCGUGAUACUACCAGAACUUCCGUUUCGAGUUUCGAUCAAGCUUGAAGAACUUGUGGGACAGUGCCCAGAGAUUCUGGUGACCCUCGUACGAGCAGCUCGCUCUAUCUCCGAUCAAGAAACGAUCCAACGCCGGGCAGACAGCAACGAUCCUAAGACGAAGCUUCGGCCGAGGACGGAAUAGACUUCAAGGAGGCAUUACCGAUCCGAAAGGAAAGAUCGACAUUUAAUCGAAAAACCGAAUAAAAAUACCUCGACACGACUUCCUUACGUCGCGAGCAAACGAACGAGAGAUUGUAGCGGAUAAAUUCGGAGCAUCGAAAGCGAUCGAGGAGAGACGAUCCUGAGGAAAAGUUCGGCAAUAGUCGUCGUUCUGAGAGACGAAGACCAGAGAAACGAGACAUCCGUGUGAAAGCAGAGUAAAUCAGAUUCGGAUGAAAAAUACGAAGGAAAUGCUCGACGUCCAACUCUCGGAUCGUUCGGCGACGCAUCUCGUGCACAAAAUAUAUUCGACUGGCAAAAACGACGGAGGAAAUUUGUGCCGCAACGCGAAUCCUUCUCUUUUGAUGUUUCGUUUGCAUAGUGAUCGUGUGAUCGUGUGAUCGUUUUGUCAAAUCGUAGCACGGUUUUACCUGAAAGUGAAGUGCAAUAGUGACAUCGUACCGGUAUACGUCGGAUCGUGCCGUUGUAAGAAUGGUUUACCGGUUUCAUUGAUCGUAACCGGUCGCAAAAAAAAAAAGAGAAUAUGUUGGCAAUGCGUCAAAUUUUCAUCGUUCAAAUGCGAAUGACUGGGUUCACACCGAGGAAGCCUUCAAAGAUUCGUCCCGAACGGUUCCAUCUAUAGAGGGAGAAGCGUGAAAUUUCGAAACGAACGGUAAACUCGUAAAGAGGCAGAAGCGGAAAAGAGGAAAGGGAGCAUUGUCCUAAGAUAGAAGCGUUGCCUGGCACGGUAGGUCGGCGCACCUUCGGCCAAUUCGAUCUUGCACGGUCGCGAAUUAACGCCGCGACCAACAACGUCCGACUAGUUAGUAAAGUUUAGUAAAGGCGUGAAUCUGUAGUUCCACUGUGUUGAUCGCUGUAUUGUAAGCAAAAUCGACUAGAAACACACCCGGAGACGCUUCUUUUCACGCUAUACUGUUCGCUGGGUUACCGACUUCUUCACCGUUUACGCGUAGACGCCACCGUGCACCGAUUUUUAGUAUUUCAACGCUUUUCACUUCAACACGCAACACGCGUUUAAUUUUCUUCCUAUGGUUGGCAACAACUUUCUACCCUUUGCACUUGUACCGGUAUUAUUCUUCGCGCCGUGUCGUAUUCACGAAACUGGAAUAUAAUCGAUGCUAAAUAAUCAUUGUUAUUUUUUACGAUGCUAGAAGGCCCUGGAACUUUUAUAAAUAUGGCUACGCCAUUGCGUAUUUUAAUUUAAAAAAUGGGAAAAAAUAUAUUUGAUAGAAAGUUUGACGCGAUAGCGCGUUACGUUAAAAUUGACGCAAAGUGCAAAGGGACGAACGAUAAUUUUCUUAUACAGCCGAUUCGACGAAAACAACUGACGAAGAUAUCGUUACGUCGUAGGAACGGAUAAAAAAUGGUACGAACGCGAAAUAACGUUGCUCAGGGCUGUCGGAAAAUUAUUGGCCAAGAUUACUAUGCGAUCGUUGCUACUAAAAAGAAAGAAAAAAUCAAAACGCCUUUUCAAUAGGGAAACCCUUAGUACUAAAUUAACCAUAUUCAUAGCCGUAGCAACGAAGAUAUUGCUUUCACGAUUGAUUUAGCAAUCUCACGACACACCUUUAAUACAGGCAUAUCUCAACGAUAAAAAGUUUCAAAAUCGAAAUGUCGUACACGAGGGAUCCACGAGUCGUAUCUCGUGCAAACGAGCUUCGAUUUCUAUUCUGAGUAUCGAUUAUAUGUAUUUCGUGUGAAGUCUUUCACUAUUGUAGCAGUAUACUAAUCUGUUAAACGAUAAAGAAAAUCAUAUUGACGUACGAAGUGGGUGGUAGUGAUAAGUUACGGGCGCUUUCAAAUGUUAUUCACAGUUCAAAUUGUCUAGAAAUUUAAAAUUCUCGAAUAACGGAUAACAAUCUGUAAAUGAUCGUUUGAAUAAAAAUUUUGACUUUUCGAACUAACGAAUUCCUAAUUUCAAUUUAUCGAAUACCGAUUAGAUAACUGAGUAACUUCCGACGUUUGUUACGAUAAGAUUUUGUAUAAAGUUGCAAAAAUGAAAUAGCACGUUUAUUAUCGAUUGUUAUGCGCGUAUCGAAACAAAACGAUUGUUACCUGCGAAUUUCGUGUGAAACAGUUCAUAUCAAAGAUACAUAAUCAAUAUUCUAUUUAGAGGAUCCCAGAGGUACAGCGAUUCGAUUUGCCAAUUACGCGUUGUAUGUACCGAGUAUUUAGUAACGUCCAUGACAACUGACAAUAACGGCUGUGAGUCCGAAGAUGUGUUUUCUGAAAAGUAUUCCUUAUUGUAAACCAUUUCGCUUGACUUGCCUGCGUGAAUUUAAACUUCCGUCGAAAUUUUAGUGGGAACCGAUCGUACAACGCUAUAUUCACACAAAAGAAACAAUUCGAUAGACAGGCUUCGAUUAUACAUUCGAUUAUUCGAUGUGUACCGAAUAACAUAAAAAAUAACUGUGGUUCGUAAUUUUAACAAUAGCAUUACCUUGCUAUGCUAUUAUUUCAAGAAGAUGAAAGCUCGAAAUUUAUUCAUUUCUAAUAGAGCGUUAGAGCAGGUGCAAAUAUGUUUGAGUAUUAAACUUUUGGUCGGUUUUCACAAAAGAAAUUUCAAAAAACGGAACGACGAUCUAUCUAAUCGAUGCAUGAGUACAACAAUGAUAUACAUACAUACAUACAUAGGUACUCACCAUGUGCAGCCGAUUACGACGAAGUUACAAAAUACUUGUCGCUUAUUUUGCAAAUAAAGAGCACUCCUAACAAAAAGUGGUUACAUCGAUUUAAGAGUUGUUAAUUUGCAUCACGGAAUUAAUCAAUGACCGCGUCACACAAAUGGUCGCAGGAAAUAUACAAACGAUGGAACUUUAGGCCGGUUCCAACGAUACAGGAAACACCGAUGAAAUAUAUUGACAAUUUUGAGUAUGUGAUAAAAUAAAAUCGUUCGAAAUUUUGAAAAUGUACAACUUUAUGAAAGAAGACACAGACGCGUUCGAAGACUCGAAAACUUACACGCCGGAAACACGAGAAACGAAUAUGGCUUCGAGUUGAUUUACAAGUUGAUGCAAUUAUCGAUCGUGAAAUCGAUUAACCACGUUUGAAAUGCCCGCGUUUAGCGGCAAACUGACUCCAUAAAAUUUGAACGAUCGUGUUCAGAGGGAUUAGGGAUUUGCGCUAAAUUCGAUGCACUUGCAGUAAACUAUUUUUUUACGAAGAGAAAAGAAACAAUCCUGCCCUGAAACCCUUGUUCCGCAUAACGAAGAACUAGUUUCUUUUUUUAAACGUUCAAUUCCUGAAACCACGGCAACGGUGUACGCAUAUUGUGAUUCGAGUGUCUCACGGUCCCACGAAUCGAUUACAUAGUUUCUUUCUUGUCGACCUUAAAUGGGUAUGUAUAUAUCACCUUGUUUUGGAGAAAAAAAAAAACGAUCAUUACACCACCAGAUGUAACCAACAUUGAUAUCACAAUUGUUUUAUUUUAUUUCACUUUAUCGAAUAACAAUUCAUUCGAUUAUUCAAUUACUUUUUCUAUAGUUUACUUGUGAAGCAAACUACAAAUACAGUGUACAGUUAUUGUACUAACGAAUACUACUGGUACUUGUCACGCAAUGACUAUGGAUUAUUAUGUAUUAUUAUAAAAUAAUAUCGUUAGUUUUCAAGCAAACGAAUAAACACGAGAAUGUGGGGAGAUAAAAAUUGUAACAUAUUUGUUGAUGGCCAAUAUCAAAUAUGUAUAAAAGUAAUAAUAAUGCAACAUUACUAAUAAACAAAUAUUACUAA